rnacentral:rRNA from 1 species
CCUACGGGAGGCAGCAGUGGGGAAUAUUGGACAAUGGGGGGAACCCUGAUCCAGCGACGCCGCGUGAGUGAAGAAGUAUUUCGGUAUGUAAAGCUCUAUCAGCCGGGAAGAAAAUGACGGUACCUGACGAAGAAGCCCCGGCUAACUACGGGCCAGCAGACGCGGGAAGACGUAGGGUGCAAGCGUUAUCCGGAUUUACUGGGUGUAAAGGAGGCGUAGACGGUGCAGCAAGUCUGAUGUGAAAGGUCGGGGCCCAACCCCGGGACUGCCUUGGAAACUGUUGAACUGGAGUACAGGAGAGGUAAGCGGAAUUCGUAGUGUAGCGGUGAAAUGCGUAGAUAUUAGGAGGAACACCAGUGGCGAAGGCGGCUUACUGGACUGUAACUGACGUUGAGGCUCGAAAGCGUGGGGAUCAAACAGGAUUAGAUACCCCUGUAGUC